GCUUGUCUCAAAGAUUAAGCCAUGCAUGUCUAAGUAUAAAUGGUAUACAGUGAAACUGCGAAUGGCUCAUUAAAACAGUUAUAGUUUAUUUGGUAUUCGAAUUUACAUGGAUAACCGUGGUAAUUCUAGAGCUAAUACAUGCAUUACGCCUGACUUUUCGGAAGGGCAGUAUUUAUUAGAUAAAAAUCAACUUUGUUGGUGAAUCAUAAUAACUUCUCGGACCGCAUGGCCUCGUGCUGGCGGUGCUUCAUUCAAAUAUCUGCCCUAUCAACUGUCGAUGGUAGGAUAGAGGCCUACCAUGGUUGCAACGGGUAACGGGGAAUAAGGGUUCGAUUCCGGAGAGGGAGCCUGAGAAACGGCUACCACAUCCAAGGAAGGCAGCAGG
rnacentral:rRNA from 1 species